UAAGCGGAGGAAAAGAAACUAACAAGGAUUCCCCCAGUAACGGCGAGUGAAGUGGGAAAAGCUCAACUUUAAAAUCUGGCGUCUUCGGCGUCCGAGUUGUAGUCUCCAGAAGCGUUUUCUGUGCUGGUCCGUGUAUGAGUCUGUUGGAACACAGCGUCAUAGAGGGUGACAACCCCGUUCAUGCCACGGAUCCCAGUGCUUUGUGAUACGCUCUCGAAGAGUCGAGUUGUUUGGGAAUGCAGCUCAAAUUGGGUGGUAAAUUCCAUCUAAAGCUAAAUAUUGGCGAGAGACCGAUAGCAAACAAGUACCGUGAGGGAAAGAUGAAAAGCACUUUGGAAAGAGAGUUAACAGUACGUGAAAUUGUUGAAAGGGAAACGAUUGAAGUCAGACGUGCGUGUUGCGAUUCAGCUCUGGUUCGCCAGAGUGUAUUUCGUAGCGUUGCAGGCCAACAUCGGUUUUCUAAGUCGGAUAAAGGUUUGAGGAAGGUAGCGCUCCAGGGCGUGUUAUAGCCUCUUACUGAAUACGAUUUGGGAGACCGAGGAACGCAGAGCGCCGCAAGGCAAAGGGUCCGCCCUUUUCGCUCUUAGGAUGUUGGUGAAAUGGCUUUAAACGACCCGUCUUGAAACACG
rnacentral:rRNA from 1 species